rnacentral:rRNA from 1 species
UACGUAGGGGGCAAGCGUUGUCCGGAAUCAUUGGGCGUAAAGAGCGUGUAGGUGGCUCGGUAAGUCCGCUGUGAAAGUCCAGGGCUCAACCCUGGAAAGCCGGUGGAAACUGUCGAGCUCGAGUCCGGAAGAGGCGAGUGGAAUUCCUGGUGUAGCGGUGAAAUGCGCAGAUAUCAAGAGGAACACCAAUGGCGAAGGCAGCUCGCUGGGACGGUACUGACGCUGAGGAGCGAAAGCGUGGGGAGCGAACAGG